UUGAAAUUUCAGUGACCUAAGAAAUAUAUCAAACCUGAAGUUUUGUGUUUCACACAAACAUGUAGGUUGGCAAAACCUUUUUAAAUAAUGUAAAUUAAUCACAAGUCUGCAUAUGCCCUCUCAUAGGCAAAUGUAUGCAUUGUAUGUAUAAGUAAGAUAUGUAUACUACACGUAUGCCCUUCUCUUGACCCACAUUUUGUAAAUAAAACAGAUAUGAUAAGUCUAUGGCAGUUUAUGAAAACAUAUAUACAUGUCAUCUCAUUGCAAUUUAUAAUUUUGAAACAUCAGUAUUUAAAUUUUAACUGAAUAUGUGUUGAGACACAGUUUUAAAAUUCACAUUGUAUGACGCAAUCUAAUUACUCAAUGGUAUAAUAUAGACCUAACGGUGCAAAUAUCAAUUAUGAUGAUCUUUUUUCUAGGCAUCAGCCUGAAGACCGAGGGAGGUUAGAUAGGACCAGUGCAGGUUGAAGUGGAUUUCGAGUCAACAAGUAGAACAGCAAGAGAGGUACUCCAUUUACAGUGAUGAUGACAUAUCCCCUGGACCCCCACAACUCCACAAAUUUAAAAAUGUUUGAUCAAGUUCCGAAGAUUAAAGAACUACUGCAAAAUUUGGGACUGGAUGAAAAACAUUAAUUCACUUAUAUGAGCUCAGAGCAGUGGAUGUUAUACAACAUACUUUAAACUAAAUUGUGAAUUUAAGGGAAAACAAGUACAUGUCAUGUACUCAUAUAUUACAAGUACAUGCCUUUUGAAAGACAAUAAUAUUGCAUAGAUGUAAAGGAAAUUUCAAUGUUGAUUAUUUUUUCUUAGAUAUAUUAGUAAAAAAUGUGCACAUGAUAGAAUAUCAAUUUUAUUACUUCAAUCAAUGUGUUUGAAUUUUCCUUGUAAUUCAAAAUUUAGUUGAAACAUACAUCAUAGAUACAUUAAUGUAUAUAAAAUUUUUAGAAAAGUUUCAUAAUGGAACUAAUUCACCCCCCCCCCCCCCCCUAUACAUACAGUGAACAUAGACCUUCACCUGGGGAAAACUUCCGUUAGUUAAUGCAAUAUACAUGUACAUGCAUUCUCAGUUAUCCAAUAGUUCCAUGUGAAACUACAAUUAGAAAUCUUAAACUUAUGAAAGACACACCUAUCUGUGAGGGUAAGAUGACUCAGAUGGACUUAAUUGUAGUGAUCCAUGGGCAGUCCAUGGGUCUCUUUCCAUUAAUAUUAAUUAUUUAUUGAAAUAUGAAAUGGUUAUUUAAACAUAUUUGGUGUAUUAUACUGUAUAGUGAUAUAAAUUUCUAUCAAAAAAUAUGUAUAAGUAAUAGAUUUGGUCUAGUUAUUACAAGAAAUUGUAUGAAAAAUAACUAAAUAUUUAGGCAAUCAUUGUGAGUGCAAAAAGGUCAACUGCAAUAGCACACACUAUAUAUCAUUCUUAAAUGGCUCAUAGAAACUUCUAGUAUUGUGAGUUUGAAUGCUCAAUAUGGUAAUUUGGGAAUGCUUAAUCAUUUAAAGUCAAUAGUUUAUCUCUGCUGACUGUAUCUCUUAAAAUUCAUUUCUAGAAGGGAGGGGGUAGGGUUACAAAAUCUGACAUAGUUUCAGAUUAAACCUCAUUUGGUAUAUUUUUUUCUAUUCAAUAUUUUAGAUACUACUUGACUUAUUGUAAAAAUGAAAUAAAAUCAGAAAUUUUAUGAGCAGAAUUUUGUUGUUGUCAAAAAAUGUAUGCGUGAUAGUAUUUGAGAAACGCCAUAUUUAGGGUAAAUUUGGCCAAUUGCCAAGUCGAAUCAUGCCAAUGUUUUCCUUAGAUGCAUUUUGAAAAUCUAAUCCAUGUUGAUUUUUUAUCUGUUUGUGUUUAAUUUACAUAACUAUAUAUGACAAACAAUAUUUCUGGUGUCAAUAAAAUUUUUAUUGGC